GAAGAUAUGACAAAGAAACAAGCUUCGUUUUGUUUUCAGUUUUAAGAAAUGACGCCAACAUUGCAGGCUGAUGUAUCGAAUGAUUUUAUGUGAUAACUUGUAACUUGGCAGGUUUCCCUGGUGGCUCAGACAGUAAAGAAUCUGCCUGCAUGCGGGAGACCUGGGUUCGAUCCCUGGGUCGGGAAAAUCCCCUGGAGAAGGGAAUGGCAACCCACUCCAGUAUUCCUGCCUGAAGAAUCCCAUGGACAGAGGAGCCUGGUGGGCUACAUGGGGUCCAUGGGGUUGCAGAGUUGGACACAACUGAGCAACUUACUGCUAACACAAUUUGUUAAGAUUAACAUAUUUUACACCUUUUAUUUGUAGUAGUUGUUGUAAUCUUAAAGAUGAGCAGGUAAACUUCAUGUUUAUAUGCCUUCACAACAUUUUGGCAUUAAUCUCCCCUCUGCACUGUAAUCUUUGUGAUUGUUGUGGAUGUUUAGUGGGUAUUACUGAGGGUGACACAGAGUGUGUGAUAGAUUAUAUGCCAAGAUGGUCACCAGCAGCCCCUCCUAUUCCUACAUGAGUGCUGGCCUCUCCUCUAGAAGUGUAGUUUAUUUUCCUUUCUCUUAAAUCUGGGAUGACUUUGCUUUGUCCAAAAGAAUGGAACAGAAGUAAUAUUGCACCAAGCUUUGUGAAGCAUUGCAACUUGUACUUUCAUUCUUUUUGGAGCCCUCUGAGACACAGUAUAAAAGAGUCCAUCUAUUCUGCUCAACAGAGAAGCCAUAAGAAGAGAAACAGUCCCAGACAUCCUGGGCCAUUUCAGCCACACUAGCUGGAGCUCCAGACAGGUAAGUGAAAACAUCUGAGAUCCUCCAGGCCAGGUGAGCCAUCCUAGACAAGACUACACGGGACAAAGAGGAGCACCCUGCCCAAAUCCUGCCUAAUUUGGAGAAUUGUAGGCAAAAAUGUGGCUGCUGUUGUUGUUGUUAGCCACUCACUUUUGGCAUGGCUCCUUAUGCAGCAGUAGAUCCGCAGCGUGGUCUUCCCUGGGAAGAAUCCCAGCCUCAGAAGCACCCUAUCCAAGAGCAGUUUGUUUCCUUUGUCUCAUGUUUUUAUCUUCUGUCCUGAGCAACUUCCUCUUUAUUUCUUCAGUUACCACUCCACUAUCUGAUCUAUCCACUCUCCAUGGAUUUUCAAGGAAGAUCAGUGAUGUUGUGAAAAAGGUCUUGACCUUUGAUUGGUACCCUCAGAGAAGACUAUCAGGCAUAAAGACCAAUAGGAACCCAAAGCAGUGAGAGAAGCUGAAAAUAAGGGAACUGUGCCUCUUGUCUCCAUGGAGGCUUUGGAGAAAAGGUGUUAAUGGUUAAUUUAUUUCUUCAUUUAUUCAGUCAAUGAACAUUAUUGCAGGUAUUUUAAGUACUUUCCAUUUCUUAACAUUCUUUAGCUGUGUAAUUACUUGUUCAUUGGUCUUCUGCCUAAUUAGACUGUGAGCUGUACAUGGCCAGAUCUGUUUUAUCUUAUUCACAACUAUUUUUCUAGCAUUUAAUAUAAUGCCUAGCAUUUUGAAGGUAUUGGAUAAACAUUUGUUGGAUUGACGUACAGGAAUUGCAAGUCGGGAAAAUACAUUUACCAAACCAGAGAUAGAAGGAAGAAAGAAGAAAUGGUUGAUGUUAAAUUAAAAAGUGGGCAAGAGUCUACAUAUUAAAACAAAAACAUGCAUGCCCUAAUGGACUUUAAAAUAAAUGUGGUCUAUUUGAUUAAUUCUGUUAGUUA
rnacentral:lncRNA from 1 species